rnacentral:rRNA from 1 species
CAGGAUGAACGCUGGCGGCGUGCCUAAUACAUGCAAGUCGAGCGAACAGACAAGGAGCUUGCUCCUUUGACGUUAGCGGCGGACGGGUGAGUAACACGUGGGUAACCUACCUAUAAGACUGGGAUAACUUCGGGAAACCGGAGCUAAUACCGGAUAAUAUUUCGAACCGCAUGGUUCGAUAGUGAAAGAUGGUUUUGCUAUCACUUAUAGAUGGACCCGCGCCGUAUUAGCUAGUUGGUAAGGUAACGGCUUACCAAGGCGACGAUACGUAGCCGACCUGAGAGGGUGAUCGGCCACACUGGAACUGAGACACGGUCCAGACUCCUACGGGAGGCAGCAGUAGGGAAUCUUCCGCAAUGGGCGAAAGCCUGACGGAGCAACGCCGCGUGAGUGAUGAAGGUCUUCGGAUCGUAAAACUCUGUUAUUAGGGAAGAACAUACGUGUAAGUAACUAUGCACGUCUUGACGGUACCUAAUCAGAAAGCCACGGCUAACUACGUGCCAGCAGCCGCGGUAAUACGUAGGUGGCAAGCGUUAUCCGGAAUUAUUGGGCGUAAAGCGCGCGUAGGCGGUUUUUUAAGUCUGAUGUGAAAGCCCACGGCUCAACCGUGGAGGGUCAUUGGAAACUGGAAAACUUGAGUGCAGAAGAGGAAAGUGGAAUUCCAUGUGUAGCGGUGAAAUGCGCAGAGAUAUGGAGGAACACCAGUGGCGAAGGCGACUUUCUGGUCUGUAACUGACGCUGAUGUGCGAAAGCGUGGGGAUCAAACAGGAUUAGAUACCCUGGUAGUCCACGCCGUAAACGAUGAGUGCUAAGUGUUAGGGGGUUUCCGCCCCUUAGUGCUGCAGCUAACGCAUUAAGCACUCCGCCUGGGGAGUACGACCGCAAGGUUGAAACUCAAAGGAAUUGACGGGGACCCGCACAAGCGGUGG